CUGGAAGAAGUCUGGAGGACAGGUGCUGCAUGGCUGUCGUCAGCUCGUGUCGUGAGAUGUUGGGUUAAGUCCCGCAACGAGCGCAACCCUUGCCUUUAGUUGCCAGCAGUUCGGCUGGGCACUCUAAAGGGACUGCCGGUGUUAAACCGGAGGAAGGUGGGGAUGACGUCAAGUCCUCAUGGCCUUUAUGACCAGGGCUACACACGUACUACAAUGGCCGAUACAAAGGGCAGCGACACUGCGAGGUGAAGCCAAUCCCGUAAAAUCGGUCUCAGUCCGGAUUGGAGUCUGCAACUCGACUCCAUGAAGUUGGAAUCGCUAGUAAUCGUGGAUCAGCAUGCCACGGUGAAUACGUUCCCGGGCCUU
rnacentral:rRNA from 1 species